CUCCUUCUCCUUCUACUAUUUCUCCUCUUCUUCUACUCUUACUUCCACUCCUACUACUUCUCUUUUGAAAUGCACAGAGACUGUGUUACAAGUUCCUCUUAAUACAGAGGAUAAAAAGAACAUCAGCCGGGCAUAUUGAAGACACUGUAAGACCCACGGAUGGCUCCUGGGUUCAGCUGCCAUGAGACUGGCUGGCUGUGUCUGCAGUGGAUUCUUAGCAAACUUAAGAAAAGCAAAGAGAGGGCAGGCCUGAGUUUCAGCAAGGAUCUUGAGACAUGGGGAUCUUGCACUAUAUAAAAGAGAUAAAGGUACAAUCCAGAAUAGUGGACUAAAAUGACAGCUCAUGGCUAUGGAACCUCAGAGUUCACUCUCUGGGUGUGAGCUUACAUGUUCUCAUCCACCAGAGCUCUCAACUCCAGCAUAAAGGAAUAAUUCUGCAGAUCCCUAUCCUUAACUUUCCUGAGACGAUACAAAAAUGCUGCCAUAUAAAUUCCAAAAUGAACUAAUGAAGAAUGACUUUGGAGAUGAAAUGUAUAUGCAUGUGUACAGCAGCUAACAUGGCAACUGGAAUACAAAGUAUUUUUUCUUCUCACAUUUUACCAACCAGCAUAUGAAUUUCCUGCAGAGGACAGGGAUUAACAGCUAGCCUCCUUUGGAAAAAAUGCAAAACUAUGAAUCAAAU
rnacentral:lncRNA from 1 species